ensembl:lncRNA
UUUCUAAGUUGGACAAGAAUCAUUUUUGGCAUAUACACACUAUAUAUUUUUAUAACAGUCUCAUGCAUGUAAUAAUCUGAGGUGAUCUCACUUUGACUUUGCUACAGGAUGUGGUAAAAAUGGAAACCUGUUGCUUAAACUGAAGUAAGUAGGUAGCCCAGCAUUUGACUCUACAACCUCAAAACACUUCAGUGCAAAAGAAAAUCUAUCUACCCUCAGCAUUAAAUGUUAUCAAAUGCAUCACAAAGCACAUUUUUCACUGUUUGGUCACAGCUGCAUCACUGAUCUGGCAGUAGAAAAUCAUAUGUCAGUCAUAAGUGACGAUUCACUGAUGCUGUGAAAUUGCAGCCCCAGACCACCGCAUGUAAGAGUCUGUGCGUGUGUGUUUACAGGAAAUAUCAUGUGAAGGACAUCAGCCUACACAUUCUCUGUCUUGGUCUUGCAACUUUGAGACCUUGGAUGUCAUGCAUCAUGUACAUUUCACAUCUUUGGAUAUUUUUGGGUGCUUUGGUGUCUUCAAAUGCUCAGAACCACUGGAAUAAAAGAUGCACAGAGGUCACCUUGAAUGCUUCUCUGAAUUCUGAAGUCUUUCUCCCAUGUCACUUUAAUAUAAGCCAUUACAAUGAAACCGAGGGGGUGUAUUGGAGCUCCUACUCUUCCAAUCUUGUAACGAUCAUGAUUAAUGGCAGAAUGUUCUUUGACAGUCCUAGUGAAGGACGAGUGAAUGUUUUUCCGCUUCUGUCUAAACAUGGAAACUUCUCCAUCCUCAUCCAUGAUCUGCAGUCUUCAGACAUUGGCACCUACUUAUGUGAGCUCAAAAGUGAAUGCUGGAGGGUGAAGAUCAGUGAACGUCCGCACAGUGAGUUUAGAGAAAUCAAUGAGACAAACCCCUGGUUCUACUUUGCAGCUGGAGCUGGAUUGUUUAUUCUCCUUUUUAUUGCAUUCAGCCUGUUAUCAAAAUUCUAUGGAAAGUGUGUAAAUACAUCAUCAAAAUCUGAUCCCGUUGAUGGCGUACAGAGUGAAGGUAAUUCCCCCGAAGAAACACAGAAUACAGAAAGCAGUGGACAUAGAAACAAGAGGGGUGUGAGGAGGGCCCCUACAACUGUUUAUGAAAAUGACAUACAUGCUCCAAAUCAAAGUUCUGCUGUGCAGCAGGGCCAACAUCCUCAGAGAGCAUUCCGAGCUGUUCCUGAGCCAACUACAAGUCAUCCUUCAGAUCAAAAAUCAUAUUAUGUCAACCAGGCGGAGCUCUCCAUUCCAGCAAAUGCUGGCAAAAACCGGAAAAAACAAAAACAUUAUCAGUUUAAAAAUCCAAUAUACUGUGACUGA